rnacentral:rRNA from 1 species
UGAGCAACCUACCCUUGACUCCGGGAUAACAGUUGGAAACAGCUGCUAAUACCGGAUACGACCUCGACCGACAUCAGUUGAGGUGGAAAGUUCUGGCGGUCAAGGAUGGGCUCGCGGCCUAUCAGCUAGUUGGUGAGGUAACGGCUCACCAAGGCUUCGACGGGUAGCCGACCUGAGAGGGUGAUUGGCCACAUUGGAACUGAGACACGGUCCAGACUCCUACGGGNGCAGCAGG